rnacentral:rRNA from 1 species
GAUGAACGCUAGCGACAGGCUUAACACAUGCAAGUCGAGGGGCAGCACGGGAGUAGCAAUACAACUGGUGGCGACCGGCGCACGGGUGAGUAACGCGUAUGCAACCCACCUAUCAGAGGGGAAUAACCCGGCGAAAGUCGGACUAAUACCGCAUAAAACAGGGGCACCGCAUGGUGAUAUUUGUUAAAGAAAUUCGCUGAUAGAUGGGCAUGCGUUCCAUUAGGUAGUUGGUGAGGUAACGGCUCACCAAGCCGACGAUGGAUAGGGGAACUGAGAGGUUGGUCCCCCACACUGGUACUGAGAAACGGACCAGACUCCUACGGGAGGCAGCAGUGAGGAAUAUUGGUCAAUGGGCGGGAGCCUGAACCAGCCAAGUCGCGUGAAGGAAGAAGGAUCUAUGGUUCGUAAACUUCUUUUGCAGGGGAAUAAAGUGCAGGACGUGUCCUGUUUUGUAUGUACCCUGAGAAUAAGGAUCGGCUAACUCCGUGCCAGCCGCCGCAGUAAAAC